rnacentral:rRNA from 1 species
GACGAACGCUGGCGGCGUGCUUAACACAUGCAAGUCGAACGGGCCUGUCUUCUUUUUUGGGGGGUGGGUUGAGUGGCGAACGGGUGAGUAUCACGUGAGUAACCUGCCCUUCGGUCCUGGAUAACCGCUUGAAAGGGCGGCUAAUACGGGGUGGUCCGGUUGGUCCGCAUGGGCUGGUCGGGAUAGAUUCACUGUUUUUGGUGUUUCGGCGGGGGCUGGGCUCGCGGGCGAUCAGCUUGUUGGUGGGGUGAUGGCCUACCGAGGCGGUGACGGGUAGCCGGCCGGAGGGGGUGGGCGGCCACACUGGGACUGGGAUACGGCCCAGACACCUGCGGGAGGCAGCAGUGGGGGGUAUUGCACAGUGGGCGGAAGCCUGAUGCAGCGACGUCGCGUGAGGGAUGGAGGCCUUCGGGUUGUGAACCUCUGUUUCCGGUGGUGAAGGCCCUGUCCGUGUGGUGGGGUUGACGGUAGCCGGGGAUGAAGCGCCGGCUAACUACGUG